UUACGGCCAAAUCACGUUGAAACACCUGUUCCCGUAGAAAACACUGAAGUUAAGCUACCUCGAGCCUGGUCGAUACCGAAAUGGGUGAUCACUUGGGAAUACCAG